rnacentral:rRNA from 1 species
GAUGAACGCUGGCGGCGUGCCUAAUACAUGCAAGUCGAGCGAACGGACGAGAAGCUUGCUUUUCUGAUGUUAGCGGCGGACGGGUGAGUAACACGUGGAUAACCUACCUAUAAGACUGGGAUAACUUCGGGAAACCGGAGCUAAUACCGGAUAAUAUUUUGAACCGCAUGGUUCAAAAGUGAAAGACGGUCUCGCUGUCACUUAUAGAUGGAUCCGCGCUGCAUUAGCUAGUUGGUAAGGUAACGGCUUACCAAGGCAACGAUGCAUAGCCGACCUGAGAGGGUGAUCGGCCACACUGGAACUGAGACACGGUCCAGACUCCUACGGGAGGCAGCAGUAGGGAAUCUUCCGCAAUGGGCGAAAGCCUGACGGAGCAACGCCGCGUGAGUGAUGAAGGUCUUCGGAUCGUAAAACUCUGUUAUUAGGGAAGAACAAAUGUGUAAGUAACUAUGCACGUCUUGACGGUACCUAAUCAGAAAGCCACGGCUAACUACGUG